CCUACGGGUGGCAGCAGUGGGGAAUAUUGCACAAUGGGGGAAACCCUGAUGCAGCAACGCCGCGGGAGUGAUGAAGGCCUUCGGGUCGUAGAGCUCUGUCCUAAGGGAAGAAUACUGACGGUACCUUAGGAGGAAGCCCCGGCUAACUACGUGCCAGCAGCCGCGGUAAUACGUAGGGGGCUCGCGUUAUCCGGAAUGUCUGGGCGUACAGGGAGCGUAGGCGGCCCUUCAAGUCAGGGGUGAAAGGGUACGGUGCAACCGUAGUAAGCCAUUGAAACUGUAGGGCUUGAGUGCAGGAGAGGAGAGUGGAAUUCGCAGUGUAGCGGUGAACUGCGUAGAUAUUGGGAGGAACACCAGUUGCGAAGGCGGCUCUCUGGACUGUAACUGACGCUGAGGCACGAAAGCGUGGGGAGCGAACAGGAUUAGAUACCCCUGUAGUC
rnacentral:rRNA from 1 species